rnacentral:rRNA from 1 species
ACCGGCAGCUCAAGUGGUGGCCAUUAUUAUUGGGCCUAAAGCGUUCGUAGCCGGUUUGAUAAGUCUCUGGUGAAAUCCCGCAGCUUAACUGUGGGACUUGCUGGAGAUACUAUCAGACUUGAGGUAGGGAGAGGUUAGGGGUACUCCCAGGGUACGGGUGACGUGCUCCAAUCCUGGUAGGACCAUCAGUGGCGAAGGGGCCAAACUUGAACGAAAUUUCUUAUUAGAAGCGUCAAGCAGUGUUGCGAACUU